rnacentral:lncRNA from 1 species
AAUAGAGCUAUUAUGCCUUUGAAAGUAUAAAUGUAUUUUGCUUCUGACUUUUUGGCCCUUGGAUCAAUCCCUUUGACCAUUUGUAAUUUUUGGAUUAAUAUUAUUACUCUGUAGGAAUCACUCAACCUUAGAAGAUCACUUAACCCUUGGGGGUACAACUAUCAUUCCAAUCGUACAAUUCUUGAUCUAAGGGCUUGUUUGUUUCAAGGGUGGAAUUGGAAUGGAUAAUGGAGUAGGAAUGAAUUGGAAUGGUAAUUGGAAUGGCCCACUCCCCCAAGACGUUUGGUUUAUUUGUGGAUUGGGAAUUGGAAUAAGUUAUUCACAUUUCAUUAUUUGAUUCGUAUAAACUAAAAAAAUUAUAGGAUACUAUAAUACUAAUUUUACUCUCAAAUAUAAAUUUAUAUUAUUUAAAAUUUAUGAAAAAUAAAAUACUAUUCUCUAAUAAGUUUUCCAAAAAAAAUAUCAAAUUUAUUUUUAAAAACUUUUAUUGAUGUGGGUUAGGGAUAGGGUUUUGAAAAAGGAUAGUUUUUUUUUUUGAUGAGAAAUGGGUGAAGAGAAAGAGGGUGAGAUGGUCGCAUGGGCUUCGAGAACUUAGUGGGCUUCCGGAAUGAAAUCUCAAUCCGGGCUAGAAGACCGGAAUCAAGUUGAAGGCUAAUGGGCCAUUCCCAUUCCAGUCCGGAAUAGGAUCCCAAACCGAUUCAUGCGAACUAAACAAAAUUAACUGGAUUUGAUCAAACCGAUUUCCAUUUCAUACCCAAAAUGGAGGAACUAAACAAGCCCUAAAUGUCAAAAAGUCGAAAGUACGAACUUUUUAUGAUUCUGAAAGUAUAGUAAAACUGCACUAAAAUUAUUAAUCCACAUCUAUUAACUAAUAUGAAUUCCCAAUCAGUUUUGCCACGUGGCAAGUUAUCUUACACCCUCUUCAUCCUCUCUUUUGAACCAAACUUAUCUUUUCCUUUCAAACCAAAACCUGACUCUUCUCUAAACCAAGAAACCGAACUAACCCGUUUUUCUCUUUAUUUUUCUGAACCAAACCGCACUAAUGAACUGAACUAAAACGAACCGCCCGUCUCCCCCUUACCGGUGAACCGAAUUGAACCGAACCAAACCGACCGUCUUACCUUAACUUGACCCUUCUCUGAGCCAAAGAACUGAACUGCCUUUUCCUCCUCUCCAUUUUCGCACGAUAGUUGAGCGUUUCGUCGGUUCCUCUCCUCUCUCGACCAAGUCCCUCCCUUUCCUCUCUCUGUUGGAGCGUUUCCUCUGCUCUCUCCUUCGCGUCGUUCCUUCUUCCCUCUCCGUUUCGGAUGGUAGGUCGUUCUCUCUCCCCUCUCCGCCAUAUCAUCUUUCUCUCCUUUCUGUUACCUACUUCUCUUGUUGCUCCUUUCACUCUCUCAUUUCCCUCUCUCGCCCUCUUCUCCCCUGACUUUUUCUAUCUUUUCUGA